rnacentral:rRNA from 1 species
UGACUGCGUACCUUUUGUAUAAUGGGUCAGCGACUUAUAUUCUGUAGCAAGGUUAACCGAAUAGGGGAGCCGGAGGGAAACCGAGUCUUAACCGGGCGUUAAGUUGCAGGGUAUAGACCCGAAACCCGGUGAUCUAGCCAUGGGCAGGUUGAAGGUUGGGUAACACUAACUGGAGGACCGAACCGACUAAUGUUGAAAAAUUAGCGGAUGACCUGUGGCUGGGGGUGAAAGGCCAAUCAAACCGGGAGAUAGCUGGUUCUCCCCGAAAGCUAUUUAGGUAGCGCCUCGUGAAUUCAUCUCCGGGGGUAGAGCACUGUUUCGGCUAGGGGGCCAUCCCGGCUUACCAACCCGAUGCAAACUGCGAAUACCGGAGAAUGUUAUCACGGGAGACACACGGCGGGUGCUAACGUCCGUCGUGAAGAGGGAAACAACCCAGACCGCCAGCUAAGGUCCCAAAGUCAUGGUUAAGUGGGAAACGAUGUGGGAAGGCCCAGACAGCCAGGAUGUUGGCUUAGAAGCAGCCAUCAUUUAAAGAAAGCGUAAUAGCUCACUGGUCGAGUCGGCCUGCGCGGAAGAUGUAACGGGGCUAAACCAUGCACCGAAGCUGCGGCAGCGACGCUGAUGCGUUGUUGGGUAGGGGAGCGUUCUGUAAGCCUGCGAAGGUGGCCUGUGAGGGUUGCUGGAGGUAUCAGAAGUGCGAAUGCUGACAUAAGUAACGAUAAAGCGGGUGAAAAGCCCGCUCGCCGGAAGACCAAGGGUUCCUGUCCAACGUUAAUCGGGGCAGGGUGAGUCGACCCCUAAGGCGAGGCCGAAAGGCGUAGUCGAUGGGAAACGGGUUAAUAUUCCCGUACUUGGUGUUACUGCGAAGGGGGGACGGAGAAGGCUAUGUUGGCCGGGCGACGGUUGUCCCGGUUUAAGCGUGUAGGUGUGUGUUCCAGGUAAAUCCGGUUCACUUUAACACUGAGGCGUGACGACGAGGCACUACGGUGCUGAAGCAACAAAUGCCCUGCUUCCAGGAAAAGCCUCUAAGCAUCAGGUAACAUCAAAUCGUACCCCAAACCGACACAGGUGGUCAGGUAGAGAAUACCAAGGCGCUUGAGAGAACUCGGGUGAAGGAACUAGGCAAAAUGGUGCCGUAACUUCGGGAGAAGGCACGCUGACACGUAGGUGAAGUGAUUUACUCAUGGAGCUGAAGUCAGUCGAAGAUACCAGCUGGCUGCAACUGUUUAUUAAAAACACAGCACUGUGCAAACACGAAAGUGGACGUAUACGGUGUGACGCCUGCCCGGUGCCGGAAGGUUAAUUGAUGGGGUCAGCGCAAGCGAAGCUCCUGAUCGAAGCCCCGGUAAACGGCGGCCGUAACUAUAACGGUCCUAAGGUAGCGAAAUUCCUUGUCGGGUAAGUUCCGACCUGCACGAAUGGCGUAAUGAUGGCCAGGCUGUCUCCACCCGAGACUCAGUGAAAUUGAACUCGCUGUGAAGAUGCAGUGUACCCGCGGCAAGACGGAAAGACCCCGUGAACCUUUACUAUAGCUUGACACUGAACAUUGAGCCUUGAUGUGUAGGAUAGGUGGGAGGCUUUGAAGUGUGGACGCCAGUCUGCAUGGAGCCGACCUUGAAAUACCACCCUUUAAUGUUUGAUGUUCUAACGUGGACCCGUGAUCCGGGUUGCGGACAGUGUCUGGUGGGUAGUUUGACUGGGGCGGUCUCCUCCUAAAGAGUAACGGAGGAGCACGAAGGUUGGCUAAUCCUGGUCGGACAUCAGGAGGUUAGUGCAAUGGCAUAAGCCAGCUUGACUGCGAGCGUGACGGCGCGAGCAGGUGCGAAAGCAGGUCAUAGUGAUCCGGUGGUUCUGAAUGGAAGGGCCAUCGCUCAACGGAUAAAAGGUACUCCGGGGAUAACAGGCUGAUACCGCCCAAGAGUUCAUAUCGACGGCGGUGUUUGGCACCUCGAUGUCGGCUCAUCACAUCCUGGGGCUGAAGUAGGUCCCAAGGGUAUGGCUGUUCGCCAUUUAAAGUGGUACGCGAGCUGGGUUUAGAACGUCGUGAGACAGUUCGGUCCCUAUCUGCCGUGGGCGCUGGAGAACUGAGGGGGGCUGCUCCUAGUACGAGAGGACCGGAGUGGACGCAUCACUGGUGUUCGGGUUGUCAUGCCAAUGGCACUGCCCGGUAGCUAAAUGCGGAAGAGAUAAGUGCUGAAAGCAUCUAAGCACGAAACUUGCCCCGAGAUGAGUUCU